GACACGGGCCAUGUUGUAGACCGUGUAACUUUGUUUUUCACAUCCAACACACCCUGGAAAGUUGGGCGCAUGCCGUGUAGAGCAGCACGGGUCAUGUCUGAAACUGUGUUGAAGCCCAAAAACAUGUUUUUACUCCGUUUUUUGCACUAACACCUGUAUAACUCAAUAGUUUGCACAACCAAAGAAUUUUUCACUUAAAACAACAUAAAAAUGAAAGGAGCUAAGUUCCAAACCAACUGAAAUGUAU
rnacentral:lncRNA from 1 species